AACGAACGCUGGCGGCAUGCCUAACACAUGCAAGUCGAACGAGCCCUUCGGGUCUAGUGGCGCACGGGUGCGUAACGCGUGGGAACCUGCCCUUAGGUUCGGAAUAACUCUCCGACAGGGGUGCUAAUACCGGAUAAUGUCUUCGGACCAAAGAUUUAUCGCCUGUGGAUGGGCCCGCGUUGGAUUAGCUAGUUGGUAGGGUAAAAGCCUACCAAGGCGACGAUCCAUAGCUGGUCUGAGAGGAUGAUCAGCCACACUGGGACUGAGACACGGCCCAGACUCCUACGGGAGGCAGCAGUGGGAAAGAUUGGACAAGGGGCGAAAGCCUGAUCCAGCGAUGCCGCGUGAGUGAUGAAGGCCGUAGGGUUGUAAAGCUCUUUUACCCGGGAUGAUAUGACAGUACCGGGAGAAUAAGCACCGGCUAACUCCGU
rnacentral:rRNA from 1 species